rnacentral:lncRNA from 10 species
GGCAGUGUGGAGGGAGAGAGCCUGGUUCUUCUGCCGAGCCCUGGGCAGCCUUCUGGUGUCCCAGGAUAGAAGAAAGACUCACAUUUCUUUGCACCAUUGAGCCCAUCACUGCAGCACCAGAGCAUCUGACAUCUGCAAAACAACAUCAUUAGGCACCACGACGAUUUGCACCAGGAAGGUUUGCACCACGACGGUUUGCACCAGGAAGAUUUGCAAUGGGACGGUUUGCACCAGGAAGGCAGGGGCAACAGAAUCACAAUUCCCUGAGUGCCAGUUGCACACUGGGCACUGUGCUAAGCACUGUAUACCCAUCCUCACCUUUAACUCACACAACGUUGUUCUUAUUCUCCCCCAUUGCAGAUGAGACCCAGGGCCUAAGUUAAACAACUUGCCCAAAGUCCGGUACGCUUAGGAGGAGGCACACCUGACUUUUGACUCUACGUCUGCCUACUCCCUGACCUAUGCUCUUUCUAGAAAGUGGACACUUGCCCAGAUAACACCACUUCUAUCCACUUCUAUCCCUCGGGGAGGCCCUACCCCAUUUCAGCUGGGCUCAGAGCUGGGCAAAUUCAGACCUAGAGUGGAUUUCAACUCUGCCACCUGCCAAAGGGUAGACCCCAACAUGCCAUGUGUUUCUCCAGUGGGCAUCCUUGGGUUCCCUGGCUCCAUGCUUAGGAGGCUGGGCCCUCCACCUGACUUCUUCAAAGCCCUCCCCAAGAGCCAGCUCCUGCAGAGCCAAGAGCCAUGAGCCGAUCCUCCAAAAACCAGACCCAUAGGACAAGAGGCCAGGAGAGAGCGGCCAGCUCUCGGUGAACACAGGUACAGGGCCUUGGCAGGCUCAGCAGUCAGGACGUCCAGGUCUCAUCUCCAGUCUGCCUCUUGCUAGUCACUUGACCUCCCGCAGCCUCAGUUUCCCCAUCUGUAAGAUGAUGACGACACCCUCCAGCUCCUUAGUAAAGGAAUGAUAAAAUGACAGUUCAGCGUCUGUAUUUUAA